AUGUACCACUCGUCCACUCCGGUUCCUCCGCGCCGCCCGCACCCACCUGACGACUGCUCGCUACGUGUUGUUAGCC
rnacentral:sRNA from 1 species